AGCAACUCAAUCUUAUCUCUCCAUCGCAGAAACGCAGAUGCAUCGUUCUUCUGCUCCUCUGUUUGUCAUCAAUCCCUAAUCCCUAAUCCUCAUUGGAACAAAUGGGGAGAGAGGGCCUCUACUUUUCCUCCUCACAGCCCAUAGUAGCCCAAAGAAAGAAAGAAAGAAAGAAAUUAUCUACAACCUUCCUCACCUCCUCGGACGCGGACACGCAGCACACUUCGCGUCCUUGCCUAGUCGCCUCCUCGGCGCAGCAAUUCGAUGAGAUGCAGCCAGUUCUUCUCUUCGUGAUGCUGAGUCGAGUUCUUCUUCCUGUACUGAUUUCAUUGCAGACUUGCAGUCAUCUUCUCCGGCUUUCCCCAUCCAAGCUUGCUUUGUUUUCUGAGUUGCUGCAAAAUGGAGGGUCGUGAAAGUGAGAUAUUAGUGAUAACUAUAGUCAAAUGAGUGGGAGUGAGUGUCUCAGGUCCUUGAUGAUCAUUUUAAACCAAUGCCACAAGCAUAUAUUCUUCCAUAGCUAUCUGCUUAAUUUCAGAAUCAGACCCACCUCAUCUAUCAGUCUUCGCAAGCACUUUCGUGGGAGUGUAA